CCUGGUGACCAUAGGAGAGGGGAAACACCCGUUCCCAUUCCGAAUACGGUAGUUAAGCCCUCUUCCGCCGAUGGUACUGAUCUCGUGAGGGAUCGGGAGAGUAGGUAGUCGCCAGGG
rnacentral:rRNA from 1 species